GAGACUCUGUGCGCGUGCAUAUCAAUAAGCGGAGGAAAAGAAACUAACAAGGAUUCCCCUAGUAACGGCGAGUGAAGCGGGAAGAGCUCAAAUUUGAAAUCUUCAAGGUUUUACCUUGACGAAUUGUAGUUUAUAGAAGUGUUUUCUGUUAGUGGAGUUUGGUAAAAGUUCUUUGGAAUAGGACAUCAUAGAGGGUGAGAAUCCCGUAUUUGACCAGUUACUUUCCAGUUGUGCGAUACACUUUCAACGAGUCGGAUUGUUUGGGAAUGCAGUCCAAAAUGGGUGGUAAAUUUCAUCUAAAGCUAAAUAUUGGCGAGAGACCGAUAGCGAACAAGUACCGUGAGGGAAAGAUGAAAAGAACUUUGAAAAGAGAGUUAAACAGUACGUGAAAUUGUCAAAAGGGAAGCGUUUGACACCAGUGUUGUUUAGUUGAAAAUCAAUUCAAUAGUUUUUGAUUCUAAGUAGUAUUGACUUCAUCAGCUUGCUGCUUUCUUCUCAGAAAUUAUUGAAUGCACUUUUCAGUUAACAAGUCAACAUCAAUUUCUUUUGUUGUAAAAGGGUAAGAGGAAGGUGGCUUGCGCUUCGGCUCAAGUGUUUAUAGCCUUUUAUCUCUGCAAUCGGAGAGAUUGAGGUCUGCAGCGUAGAUCCUUCGGGGUUAGAUACAUUGGUGCUAAGCUAUAGCCUUGUAUAGACAACUUGUUGACUAUGCUCAGUCAUGUAGCUUACUCGCUGAUGCUAUUUUACCUACGCUUAGGAUGUUGACAGCAGUAUAGACUGU
rnacentral:rRNA from 1 species